CGGAGCGCGGCCCUGCGCUG
rnacentral:miRNA from 1 species